AGAGUUUGAUCAUGGCUCAGGAUGAACGCUGGCGGCGUGCCUAAUACAUGCAAGUCGUGCGGAAAGGCCACUUCGGUGGUACUCGAGCGGCGGACGGCAGAGUAACGCGUAGGGAACAUACCCCAAACUGAGGCAUAACUGCUCGAAAGAGCAGCUAAUACCGCAUGUGAUCUUCGGAUUUAAAAGCUUCGGCGGUUUGGGAAUGGCCUGCGUCCGAUUAGCUAGUUGGUGAGGUAAAUGCUCACCAAGGCUUCGAUCGGUAGCUGGUCUGAGAGGAUGAUCAGCCUGACUGGAACUGAGAACGGUCCAGACUCCUACGGGAGGCAGCAGUAGGGAAUUUUCCACAAUGGGCGAAAGCCUGAUGGAGCAACGCCGCGUGCAGGAUGAAUGCCUUCGGGUUGUAAACUGCUUUUAUUAGUGAAGAAUAUGACGGUAACUAAUGAAUAAGGGUCGGCUAACUACGUG
rnacentral:rRNA from 1 species